rnacentral:tRNA from 1 species
GGUAAGAUGGCUGAAGUUAAGCGUUAGGCUGUAAACCUUUUUACAGGGGUUCAAUUCCCCUUCUUAUCA